AAGGAACGUUGAGAGUUUAUUGCAAUUCCCAUCCCUCUCAUCAGGAUUUCCACGCCCUGCAACUUUUCUCCUGGGUCGAUGCAGCAGCGUUUGAAGAGACUAAAAUUUGGUUUCUCCCACUGCACACCUACCUGUUCACAAGAUGUUUGGAUCCAGCUUUAGAAACAAAGUUUGAUUGGGAAGUUAAGCCAGCUGCAGUUGGUUUAUCUUCAGCAGAGAGGGCUUCCACAAGGAGAUUCAAUCUUUCUGAAGCAUUCUCAGCAUAUAAUCUACAUGUUCUCCUGACCUGCGAAUACAAUGACAGGUUUACCUGCUGAUGCUGAUCACUAGGCAUUGUGGGUGCCAACUAUGGGACAUAUACUCCAUAAUCCCACUUCACUGUUAAACCUCUUUUAGUCACCCAUCAUAUGAAAGUGGGAAGAUAUCAACCAAAUUCCUUCUGCCUUUUUUUUUUUCCUUUCUAUCGAUGGUUCCAUGCGCAAAACAUCAACGGGAUUAGGAGUAUAAACCCCGCGAAGAACAAAGUGCAGGAUAUGAUCUCCACGAAGAUAUGGAUGAUCUUGACAAGCCAUUAUUGUGAUUUUGGAACUUAGCAUGUUCAUGUGUUAUGCUGUUCAACAGGUUGAUGGGCUUGCAAUGGCUUUAGUGGGCUAUUGAUUUCCAAUAUGGGAUCCAGUAAUUGGAUAUGGCAUCACUUUUCCUGGAUCCAUUAAACAAUUGGAAAUUUGGAAUGGACACAUUCGACCUUCUGGAUGGAUCGACAUAUUAUUAAAAGUCGAAUCUGGUGUGGAUUCUAUUAGGGUCAUCGCGUUCAGACAAUAAGAUACCUAUCAUGGUUCCCACAAUUUUCGAAAAAGCCAAUUGAUUGUUUUGCUCAUAAUUUGGUCACGAUCAAUCUAAGUUUUAUAUUCGUCUCCAAAGUUGGUCAGUCUGAUUAGGAUUAAGAUUCUGCUUUCUGCUAUUUCAUGGAAUCUUAGAGAGAUCAGGCUAGGUUAAAUGGUUGAUGCUUUCAUGGUCAAAGAAUCUCUCUUAGCUAGGACUAGGCCACCUGCCUGACUAUCUAUUGUCGCAGCAGGCCACAAUAUAUAAAACAUUCAUGCAUCCAUAUGUAGAGCUUCCUAAUUGUCGCUUGAUUUUCGAUAUGAUAUCUCAUGGUUUUCU